UUAUGGCCAUAUCAGAUUGAAACACCAGUUCCUGUAUGAUCACUGAAGUUAAGCAACAUCAAGCUUGAUCAGUACCUAAAUUGGUGACCAUUUGGGAAUACCAGGUGCUGUAAG
rnacentral:rRNA from 1 species